ACAUAAAGUAAAGAAAAUGCAAAUAAAUAAAAGGAAAUAGUGUAGAAACAUUGAAAUUGGGAAAGUGUACUCUUCUCUCUCACGAUCAAAAUGAAAUUUGUGGGCAAAUGUUAGCCAAGAUCAAAAUGAAAUUUGUUCUCAGUCUUCCGAAAUCGAAGCUCCAUUAUUGUCUUUGCAAGCUCGGAAUCUAUGGGUGGUGAUGAUUGUGCUAGCAUUUUCCUCUUGGAUCAGCAUCAUUUGAGUUGUUGUCUUGAUAUUGGUGUUUCCGUCAGAUGCGCCACUUCCUGCUGCUGUAGAUAUUGAGAAUACCACACAAGUUGAAAAUUAUUUGCUUUUUUCUUUAGUCGUGCUUAGAGCAUCCACGUAUUACAAAUCGUAUCAGAGAGCUGGACCUGUAUAUUAUGGAGUUGUUGCAAUAGCGUUUGAAGCUUUCCCCCGAACUUUAGCCAAGGACAGUGGUGUGACUUUGAUCCGUACAAUGAAUGUGUUCCACUGAAAAGAUGCAAAUAGCAAGAUUGCAGGGCUGGGCAUAGUGAGUAAUGGUGAAUUUGCUGGUGUAGUUGCAUUACCAUUACCAGUAGGAUUUGAACUUGUCUAGAACAGAAUAGAACUAUAGUCAUGCAUUCUCAAACUACUUAAUAAAGUUCUAGGACUCGAGUGAGUUUAAUUCGUGGCAUGUAAUUUAUUGCAACAGGCUAAAGGUUGAAUUGCAGAAUGCAAAAAUUUCAGCAGUUCAAAAUGCUGCUAGCUAUAUUGGCUAUAGUUUCAUUUCUGAAAACUUGUUGGAUGGGAUAGCUGAUCAAGUGAACUGACAGCUUGCUUUGGGAAUUGAAGGUCCUGGCCAAGAAUUCAUUUGGAUUGAUAAUGCAGGCAUAAAAGAACGUGACAACUUUAAGAUCUCUGUCCUUCCUUGCAUUUCAUGAAUUUGACUAGUUUAACAAAGGAGGCUGUCAUUUUAGGGGAAGGAAUAUAUAAAAACAUAGUGGAGGAGGCUCAAGCCAAUCUGGUUAUGAACAAACUGAGAGGCGCAAGUCACAUUACUGCACUCAAUUCUCAUGGUUUUGGGGACCAAAGAAGUCCAUAGAUUGAUGACAUUGUUAUCUACGUUACUGGAGUGCUUAUUUUGUUUAUCAGAUAUUAUCAGUUUACUCUUAGUAGGGCCUUCGGACAUGCUUCCAAGAUGACAUUGACAAUGGAGUCAAUAAAAAUUGUUGGUGAUAUCUUUUACAUGGAAGCAAAUAGUGGAGAAACUAAAAGAGUGAACUGGAAUGAUGUUUUUGCCACAGAAUUUGCACUUGAGGUGGCAGAGUAUGUUCUAAUUCCUAAAUUGAUGACGCUCCACUGAACCUUGAGGAUUU